AGGGUACAACCGAAUGUUGGGGGAAACCUGGGGAACUCAGGCUAAUACCGCAUACGUCCUACGGGAGAAAGCAGGGUGAUCUUCGGACCUUGCGCUAUCGGAUGAGCCCAUGUCGGAUUAGCUUGUUGGUGAGGUAGUGGCUCACCAAGGCGACGAUCCGUAGCUGGUCUGAGAGGAUGAUCAGCCACACUGGGACUGAGACACGGCCCAGACUCCUACGGGAGGCAGCAGUGGGGAAUAUUGGACAAUGGGCGAAAGCCUGAUCCAGCCAUGCCGCGUGUGUGAAGAAGGCCUUCGGGUUGUAAAGCACUUUCAGCGAGGAAGAACGCCUUGGGAUUAAUACUCCCGAGGAAAGACAUCACUCGCAGAAGAAGCACCGGCUAACUCCGUGCCAGCAGCCGCGGUAAUACGGAGGGUGCAAGCAUUAAUCGGAAUUACUGGGCGUAAAGCGCGCGUAGGUGGCUAAGUCAGCCAGGUGUGAAAGCCCCGGGCUCAACCUGGGAACGGCAUCUGGAACUGCUUGGCUAGAGUGCAGGAGAGGAAGGUAGAAUUCCCGGUGUAGCGGUGAAAUGCGUAGAGAUCGGGAGGAAUACCAGUGGCGAAGGCGGCCUUCUGGACUGACACUGACGCUGAGGUGCGAAAGCGUGGGUAGCAAACAGGAUUAGAUACCCUGGUAGUCCACGCCGUAAACGAUGUCAACUAGCCGUUGGGUCCCUUGAGGACUUAGUGGCGCAGCUAACGCAAUAAGUUGACCGCCUGGGGAGUACGGCCGCAAGGUUUAAAACUCAAAUGAAUUUGACGGGGGCCCGCACAAGCGGUGGAGCAUGUGGUUUAAUUCGAUGCAACGCGAAGAAUCCUUACCUACCCUUGACAUCCAGGAGGACUUUCCAGAAGAUGGAUUGGUGCCUUCGGAACUCUGAAAACAGUGCUGCAUGGCUGUCGUCAGCCUCGUGUUGUGAAUGUUGGUUUAAGUUCCGUUAACGGAGCGCCAACCCCUAUUCCUUAUUGGCAAGGGAGUAAUGGUCGGGACUCUAAGGAAACUUGCUGGUGACAACGAGAGGUGGGACAGACGCUCAAGCCAUACAUGGCUAACCGUAGGCGUACCACUGUCUACAAUGCCAGUUCAAAGGUGUGCACAU
rnacentral:rRNA from 1 species